UCGGGGGUACUCGAGUGGCGAACGGGUGAGUAACACGUGGGCAAUCUGCCCUGCACUUCGGGAUAAGCCUGGGAAACUGGGUCUAAUACCGGAUAGGACCUUUAGACGCAUGUCUUUUGGUGGGAAGCUUUUGCGGUGUGGGAUGGGCCCGCGGCCUAUCAGCUUGUUGGUGGGGUGACGGCCUACCAAGGCGACGACGGGUAGCCGGCCUGAGAGGGUGUCCGGCCACACUGGGACUGAGAUACGGCCCAGACUCCUACGGGAGGCAGCAGUGGGGAAUAUUGCACAAUGGGCGCAAGCCUGAUGCAGCGACGCCGCGUGGGGGAUGACGGCCUUCGGGUUGUAAACCUCUUUCACCAUCGACGAAGGUUCGGGUUUUCUCGGAUUGACGGUAGGUGGAGAAGAAGCACCGGCCAACUACGUGCCAGCAGCCGCGGUAAUACGUAGGGUGCGAGCGUUGUCCGGAAUUACUGGGCGUAAAGAGCUCGUAGGUGGUUUGUCGCGUUGUUCGUGAAAUCUCACGGCUUAACUGUGAGCGUGCGGGCGAUACGGGCAGACUAGAGUACUGCAGGGGAGACUGGAAUUCCUGGUGUAGCGGUGGAAUGCGCAGAUAUCAGGAGGAACACCGGUGGCGAAGGCGGGUCUCUGGGCAGUAACUGACGCUGAGGAGCGAAAGCGUGGGGAGCGAACAGGAUUAGAUACCCUGGUAGUCCACGCCGUAAACGGUGGGUACUAGGUGUGGGUUUCCUUCCUUGGGAUCCGUGCCGUAGCUAACGCAUUAAGUACCCCGCCUGGGGAGUACGGCCGCAAGGCUAAAACUCAAAGGAAUUGACGGGGGCCCGCACAAGCGGCGGAGCAUGUGGAUUAAUUCGAUGCAACGCGAAGAACCUUACCUGGGUUUGACAUGCACAGGACGCGUCUAGAGAUAGGCGUUCCCUUGUGGCCUGUGUGCAGGUGGUGCAUGGCUGUCGUCAGCUCGUGUCGUGAGAUGUUGGGUUAAGUCCCGCAACGAGCGCAACCCUUGUCUCAUGUUGCCAGCGGGUAAUGCCGGGGACUCGUGAGAGACUGCCGGGGUCAACUCGGAGGAAGGUGGGGAUGACGUCAAGUCAUCAUGCCCCUUAUGUCCAGGGCUUCACACAUGCUACAAUGGCCGGUACAAAGGGCUGCGAUGCCGCAAGGUUAAGCGAAUCCUUUUAAAGCCGGUCUCAGUUCGGAUUGGGGUCUGCAACUCGACCCCAUGAAGUCGGAGUCGCUAGUAAUCGCAGAUCAGCAACGCUGCGGUGAAUACGUUCCCGGGCCUUGUACACACCGCCCGUCACGUCAUGAAAGUCGGUAACACCCGAAGCCAGUGGCC
rnacentral:rRNA from 1 species